UGGGCUUUUCUGAAAUUGAGUGCAG
rnacentral:piRNA from 1 species